UACGAAGGGGGCGAGCGUUGUUCGGAAUUACUGGGCGUAAAGGGCGCGCAGGCGGCCGACCAAGUCAGGCGUGAAAGCCCCGGGCUCAACCUGGGAACUGCGUUUGGGACUGGUUGGCUAGAGAUCGGGAGAGGAGAGUGGAAUUCCCAGUGUAGAGGUGAAAUUCGUAGAUAUUCGGAGGAACACCAGUGGCGAAGGCGGCUCACUGGUCCAUUACUGACGCUGAGGUGCGAAAGCGUGGGGAGCAAACAGG
rnacentral:rRNA from 1 species